rnacentral:lncRNA from 1 species
UACAGAUGUGAGCAGGACCAUUCCUGGCCUCCCGGCUCUGAGGAGGCGAAGCGCAGGCCCACAGCUGUGCGGCAGGAGCCACCCUCACAGCAGAGCCGGUGUAGACGCUUGAACGGCUCCUGCAGACACUCCCCUCUCCCCCUCUUAAAAAAACAAAUGCCCUGGCCUCCAUAGCCCCCAACAUACCUGCUUGUGCCCUCCUCUCUCCACUGGUAUCACAAACAGAAACAUCAAUCUGCCUUUGUUUUGCCAGAGGGGCAAGGCUGUGGAACCCCAGAAGACAGGCCUCUGAGAGGACCCGGGUCACCCGGACCUGGACUCAAAUCCCAUCCCUGUACCUCUCCUUGGAUGAACCAUCGAACACUGAGCUUCCAUUUUGCAUCUUCCAACUGCACAGAGAAUUCAUAGGCAAGCGGAGGCCUGAUGUGGAACUAAUGGGGCUCUGCGUCAUGGGCAACUAAACCUGGAGGGGGCACCGUGCCCGGUUCUCCCAGAGAAGAGAAGAAGGACUGGGCAGACAGCUCUCCAUCUCUCUGUGGAGGCCUCCCCUCCCACUUCCUUCCCCAACACCCCACCUCCACCUGCUGCUUCCAACCCCCAGCCCUGUUGGUUCUAGAAAGUUUGGUUGUUAUCCAGCAGGAGGAUGAGGACUGGUUUA